GUCGUCAGCUCGUGUUGUGAAAUGUUGGGUUAAGUCCCGCAACGAGCGCAACCCUUAUCCUUUGUUGCCAGCGGUUAGGCCGGGAACUCAAAGGAGACUGCCAGUGAUAAACUGGAGGAAGGUGGGGAUGACGUCAAGUCAUCAUGGCCCUUACGAGUAGGGCUACACACGUGCUACAAUGGCAUAUACAAAGAGAAGCGACCUCGCGAGAGCAAGCGGACCUCAUAAAGUAUGUCGUAGUCCGGAUUGGAGUCUGCAACUCGACUCCAUGAAGUCGGAAUCGCUAGUAAUCGUGGAUCAGAAUGCCACGGUGAAUACGUUCCCGGGCCUUGUACACACCGCCCGUCACACCAUGGGAGUGGGUUGCAAAAGAAGUAGGUAGCUUAACCUUCGGGAGGGCGCUUACCACUUUGUGAUUCAUGACUGGGGUGAAGUCGUAACAAGGUAACCGUAGGGGAACCUGCGGUUGGA
rnacentral:rRNA from 1 species